rnacentral:rRNA from 1 species
UACGAAGGGGGGCUAGCGUUGUUCGGAAUUACUGGGCGUAAAGGGCGCGUAGGCGGUCCUUCAAGUCAGGCGCUGAAAGCCCCGGGCUCAACCUGGGAACCGCGCUUGAGACUGGCGGGCUAGAGUUCGGGAGAGGAUGGUGGAAUUCCCAGUGUAGAGGUGAAAUUCGUAGAUAUUGGGAAGAACACCGAUGGCGAAGGCAGCCAUCUGGACCGACACUGACGCUGAGGCGCGAAAGCGUGGGGAGCAAACAGG